rnacentral:lncRNA from 1 species
CGGGACCCCUCACUCAGUGCAGAGGGAAAUUGACACAGCCAUGAUGAGGCCUGGCUCACAAGAGCCAUAGUUACUGUAGGAGUUUCUGUGGCUGAAUAUGCUUAGCUAUUGGGCAAGGACAUGUGCUGGAUGUGUAUGCAGUCUUUGAAGCUGGAGAGACCUGUGUUGGAAACUGUGCUCUGUCCCAUACCAGUUCCCUGACCUUGGCUAAAGAGGAGGGUGAUGGAUUGCCAACACACUUGGAGGGAGAGGAGAGUGACUCUUGGUGGAAGAAGACAGCUGUCAAGGGAAGGUAGCAGUGUCUGACACAUGGUGUGUGUUAAGGAAUAAGGAAGAUUUUCAAGCAACCUCUUGGGGAACUGUGCAGCUAUAGUAUAUUUCAAAUGUGCAUCUGCUCAUUAAGAUGGAAGAAUAAAUAAUCAUUGAGAAAGAGACUUACAACCAGAUAAAACCUUUUGUUGGAACAAACUUGUGAAUUUAGG